GACAGAGGGUGCAAACGUUGUUCGGAAUUACUGGGCGUAAAGCGCGUGUAGGCGGCUAUGUAAGUCGGAUGUGAAAGCCCUCGGCUCAACCGGGGAAGUGCACUCGAAACUGCGUAGCUAGAGUCUCGGAGAGGAUCGUGGAAUUCUCGGUGUAGAGGUGAAAUUCGUAGAGAUCGGGAGGAACACCAGCGGCGAAGGCGGCGACCUGGACGAGCACUGACACUCAACUACGAAAGCGUGGGGAGCAAACAGG
rnacentral:rRNA from 1 species